rnacentral:rRNA from 1 species
AGUCGUGGUAAGAGCGAAGUGGCCCCACCCAGUCCCAUCCCGAACCUGGAAGUGAAACGCUUCAGCGCCAACAAUAGUUAGACCGCAGGGUUUUGCCAAGAUAGGCCACUGCGGCUU